AACGAACGCUGGCGGCAUGCCUAACACAUGCAAGUCGAACGAAGGCCUCGGCCUUAGUGGCGCACGGGUGAGUAACGCGUGGGAAACUGCCUAUUGAUGGGGAAUAACGACGGGAAACUGUCGCUAAUACCGCAUAAGCCCUUCGGGGGAAAGAUUUAUCGCCGAUAGAUGUGCCCGCGUCCGAUUAGCUAGUUGGUGAGGUAAUGGCUCACCAAGGCGACGAUCGGUAGCUGGUCUGAGAGGAUGAUCAGCCACACUGGGACUGAGACACGGCCCAGACUCCUACGGGAGGCAGCAGUGGGGAAUAUUGGACAAUGGGCGAAAGCCUGAUCCAGCAAUGCCGCGUGAGUGAUGAAGGCCUUAGGGUUGUAAAGCUCUUUCGGGUGGGACGAUGAUGACGGUACCACCAGAAGAAGCCCCGGCUAACUUCGUGCCAGCAGCCGCCGUAA
rnacentral:rRNA from 1 species